rnacentral:rRNA from 1 species
UACAGAGGUCUCAAGCGUUGUUCGGAUUUAUUGGGCGUAAAGGGUGCGUAGGCGGCGCGGUAAGUCGGAUGUGAAAUCUCGGAGCUUAACUCCGAAACUGCAUUCGAUACUGCCGUGCUUGAGGACUGGAGAGGAGACUGGAAUUUACGGUGUAGCGGUGAAAUGCGUAGAUAUCGUAAGGAAGACCAGUGGCGAAGGCGGGUCUCUGGACAGUUCCUGACGCUGAGGCACGAAGGCCAGGGGAGCAAACGGG